CAGUCAUCCCUCCUCGCUGGUGAAUGGAGGCAGUGGUCACAACUCUCCCCAGAGAAGGUGGUGUGAGGCCAUUACGGAAGAUGCUGCUGCUUCUGGUGCUUCUGGGGCCAGGUUCCGGGCUUGGUGCUGUCGUCUCUCAACAUCCGAGCAGGGUUAUCUGUAAGAGUGGAACCUCUGUGAAGAUCGAGUGCCGUUCCCUGGACUUUCAGGCCACAACUAUGUUUUGGUAUCGUCAGUUCCCGAAACAGAGCCUCAUGCUGAUGGCAACUUCCAAUGAGGGCUCCACAGUCACAUAUGAGCAAGGCGUCAAGAAGGGCAAGUUUCCCAUCAACCAUCCAAACUUGACCUUCUCCACUCUGACAGUCACCAGUGCCCAUCCUGAAGACAGCAGCUUCUACAUCUGCAGUGCUAGAGACAGAAAGCGGGGUUUGCGCCAGGGUCCCCAGGGCUGUGCGAACACCGGGGAGCUGUUUUUUGGAGAAGGCUCUAGGCUGACCGUACUAGAGGACCUGAGAAACGUGUUCCCACCCAAGGUCGCUGUGUUUGAGCCAUCAGAAGCAGAGAUCUCCCACACCCAAAAGGCCACGCUGGUGUGCCUGGCCACAGGCUUCUACCCCGACCACGUGGAGCUGAGCUGGUGGGUGAACGGGAAGGAGGUGCACAGUGGGGUCAGCACAGACCCGCAGCCGCUCAAGGAGCAGCCCGCCCUCAAUAACUCCAGAUACAGCCUGAGCAGCCGCCUAAGGGUCUCGGCCACCUUCUGGCAGAACCCCCGCAACCGCUUCCGCUGUCAAGUCCAGUUCUACGGGCUCUCGGAGAAUGACGAGUGGAACGAGGCCAGGGACAGGCCCAUCACCCAGAACGUCAGCGCUGAGGCCUGGGGUAGAGCCGACUGUGGCUUCACCUCCGAGUCUUACCAGCAAGGGGUCCUGUCUGCCACCAUCCUCUAUGAGAUCUUGCUAGGGAAGGCCACCUUGUAUGCUGUGCUGGUCAGUGCCCUCGUGCUGAUGGCCAUGGUGAAGAGAAAGGAUUCCUGAGGCUAGCUCCAAAACCAUCCCGGGUCAUUCUUCAUCCUCACCCAGGAUCCUCCUGUACCUGCUCCCAAUCUGUGUUCCUAAAAGUGAUUCUCUCUUUGCUUCUCAUCUCCUACUUACAUGAAUACUUCCCUCUUUUUUCUGUUUACCUGAAGACUGAGCUCCCAACCCCCAAGUAUGAAAUAGACUAAACCAAUAAAAAAUGGUGUGUUCGGCCUGGUUGCA